AGGACUUACAGUAUACACAAAGAAGUGAAGAUCUCUGGAAAUGGCUAAAAUAAAGGAAGACGUUUAUAUUUCUGAGAAUUAAAACAUCAAAAGCAGCCAUUAAUGUGAUGUUUCCUUAAAUUCACAAAAGAAGAAUCAAAUAAUGUUUAUAUGAGGGGGUACUGAAAAAUGUGUACAAAGUAUUCUUGGAGCACAAAUGAGAGACUUCAACUCUUUCUCAAACAUCAGUGAUGAUUUUACAGAGAAGACAUUUGUGUUGCAUUAAAAGAAGGAAUUUACAAAGUAGAGAAGAGGUGAAAGCAAGAAGGGUGAUGUGGAAGAGCCAACUGAGGAAGGACAGAGGUCUCAGCGUGGAAGGAGUACAGGAAAUGAUGAAGAUAUAGCGGGUACAUGUGCAGGUUUGUUACAUGGGAAUAUUGCAUGAUGCUGAAGUUUGGAAUAUGUAUCCCAUCACCCAAUUGGUGAGCUUAGUACAUGAUGCUGCACUACUUGUUACCGUGGCCUAUUGUAUAAUUACAUUGGAACCUUUUUGAUACCUAUUCAAGUGAGUAUUUCCCUCUUGUUGCCUGAAAUUUCUUUUCUGCACUAGGUAAAUGAGCCAAUAAAGUAUUUCUUAAAACAUUGCCGUUACCAUGGAAAUAAGGGUUUCACAUUACUCUUGUCUAUGUAUGUUGACUUUAUUUUGGGUCAUGUAGUUGGGAGAUAGCUCUCAGAGUUUCAUGGUAUCCUAAAAGCAUUU
rnacentral:lncRNA from 1 species